rnacentral:rRNA from 1 species
AUGAACGCUGGCGGCGUGCCUAAUACAUGCAAGUCGAGCGAACGGACGAGAAGCUUGCUUUUCUGAUGUUAGCGGCGGACGGGUGAGUAACACGUGGAUAACCUACCUAUAAGACUGGGAUAACUUCGGGAAACCGGAGCUAAUACCGGAUAAUAUUUUGAACCGCAUGGUUCAAAAGUGAAAGACGGUCUUGCUGUCACUUAUAGAUGGAUCCGCGCUGCAUUAGCUAGUUGGUAAGGUAACGGCUUACCAAGGCAACGAUGCAUAGCCGACCUGAGAGGGUGAUCGGCCACACUGGAACUGAGACACAGUCCAGACUCCUACGGGAGGCAGCAGUAGGGAAUCUUCCGCAAUGGGCGAAAGCCUGACGGAGCAACGCCGCGUGAGUGAUGAAGGUCUUCGGAUCGUAAAACUCUGUUAUUAGGGAAGAACAUAUGUGUAAGUAACUGUGCACAUCUUGACGGUACCUAAUCAGAAAGCCACGGCUAACUACGUG